rnacentral:rRNA from 1 species
GAUGAACGCUGGCGGCGUGCCUAAUACAUGCAAGUCGAGCGAACAGACGAGGAGCUUGCUCCUCUGACGUUAGCGGCGGACGGGUGAGUAACACGUGGAUAACCUACCUAUAAGACUGGGAUAACUUCGGGAAACCGGAGCUAAUACCGGAUAAUAUAUUGAACCGCAUGGUUCAAUAGUGAAAGACGGUUUUGCUGUCACUUAUAGAUGGAUCCGCGCCGCAUUAGCUAGUUGGUAAGGUAACGGCUUACCAAGGCAACGAUGCGUAGCCGACCUGAGAGGGUGAUCGGCGACACUGGAACUGAGACACGGUACAGACUCCUACGGGAGGCAGCAGUAGGGAAUCUUCCGAAAAGGGCGAAAGCAUGACGGAGCAACGACGAGUGAGUGAUGAAGGUCUUAGGAUCGUAAAACUCUGUUAUGAGGGAAGAAAAAAUGUGUAAGUAAAUAUGCACGUCUUGACGGUACCUAAUCAGAAAGCAACGGCUAACUACGUG